rnacentral:rRNA from 1 species
CCGAGACUCAGUGAAAUUGAACUCGCUGUGAAGAUGCAGUGUACCCGCGGCAAGACGGAAAGACCCCGUGAACCUUUACUAUAGCUUGACACUGAACAUUGAGCCUUGAUGUGUAGGAUAGGUGGGAGGCUUUGAAGUGUGGACGCCAGUCUGCAUGGAGCCGACCUUGAAAUACCACCCUUUAAUGUUUGAUGUUCUAACGUUGGCCCGUAAUCCGGGUUGCGGACAGUGUCUGGUGGGUAGUUUGACUGGGGCGGUCUCCUCCUAAAGAGUAACGGAGGAGCACGAAGGUUGGCUAAUCCUGGUCGGACAUCAGGAGGUUAGUGCAAUGGCAUAAGCCAGCUUGACUGCGAGCGUGACGGCGCGAGCAGGUGCGAAAGCAGGUCAUAGUGAUCCGGUGGUUCUGAAUGGAAGGGCCAUCGCUCAACGGAUAAAAGGUACUCCGGGGAUAACAGGCUGAUACCGCCCAAGAGUUCAUAUCGACGGCGGUGUUUGGCACCUCGAUGUCGGCUCAUCACAUCCUGGGGCUGAAGUAGGUCCCAAGGGUAUGGCUGUUCGCCAUUUAAAGUGGUACGCGAGCUGGGUUUAGAACGUCGUGAGACAGUUCGGUCCCUAUCUGCCGUGGGCGCUGGAGAACUGAGGGGGGCUGCUCCUAGUACGAGAGGACCGGAGUGGACGCAUCACUGGUGUUCGGGUUGUCAUGCCAAUGGCACUGCCCGGUAGCUAAAUGCGGAAGAGAUAAGUGCUGAAAGCAUCUAAGCACGAAACUUGCCCCGAGAUGAGUUCUCCCUGACUCCUUGAGAGUCCUGAAGGAACGUUGAAGACGACGACGUUGAUAGGCCGGGUGUGUAAGCGCAGCGAUGCGUUGAGCUAACCGGUACUAAUGAACCGUGAGGCUUAACCUU